rnacentral:rRNA from 1 species
AUUGAACGCUGGCGGCAGGCCUAACACAUGCAAGUCGAGCGAGCGGCGGACGGGUGAGUAAUGUCUAGGAAACUUCCUGCUUGAGGGGGAUAACUACUUGAAACGGUAGCUAAUACCGCCUUCCAUCAGCUGUGACCAGAGUGGAUUAGCCAGUCGGUGGGGUAAUGGCUCACCUAGGCGACGAUCCCUAGCUGGUCUGAGAGGAUGACCAGCCACACUGGAACUGAGACACGGUCCAGACUCCUACGGGAGGCAGCAGUGGGGAAUAUUGCACAAUGGGCGCAAGCCUGAUGCAGCCAUGCCGCGUGUGUGAAGAAGGCCUUCGGGUUGUAAAGCACUUUCAGCGGGGAGGCGUUACCCGCAGAAGAAGCACCGGCUAACUCCGUGCCAGCCGCCGCGGUAAUUC